rnacentral:rRNA from 1 species
UACUCGAGUGGCGAACGGGUGAGUAACACGUGGGUGAUCUGCCCUGCACUUCGGGAUAAGCCUGGGAAACUGGGUCUAAUACCGGAUAGGAGCCAUUUUUAGUGUGAUGGUUGGAAAGUUUUUUCGGUGUAGGAUGAGCUCGCGGCCUAUCAGCUUGUUGGUGGGGUAAUGGCCUACAAAGGCGGCGACGGGUAGCCGGCCUGAGAGGGUGGACGGCCACAUUGGGACUGAGAUACGGCCCAG